rnacentral:rRNA from 1 species
UUCGGGGUAGGGGUGAAAUCCUAUAAUCCCGGGAAGACCACCAGUGGCGAAGGCUGUCUGCUAGAACGCGCCCGACGGUGAGGGAUGAAAGCUGGGGGAGCGAACCGGAUUAGAUACCCGGGUAGUCCCAGCUGUAAACGAUGCAGGCUAGGUGUUUGAACGGCCACGUGCCGUUCUAGUGCCGCAGGGAAGCUGUUAAGCCUGCCGCCUGGGGAGUACGAUCGCAAGAUUGAAACUUAAAGGAAUUGGCGGGGGAGCACCACAAGGGGUGAAGCUUGCGGUUUAAUUGGAUUCAACGCCGG